AGGAAAAACGGAUCGACGCGUCUGCGUUGCUGGGUAGAUAUAAAACAAAAACAACAACGUUUGUGUCUGUCGGAGUUUGAAGCUUGGACACAACAGACGGUAUCAUUUGAAAUUCGCACGCUGUUCUGCUGCACAAUCUCUUUUCUAUUUUAGAACAUGGCAACUGACUGCGAGGCCUGGCUGAACGCAAACCCCGUCGAGGCUGAGGACCUGAGUGACUCCUUUUUAUCUGGAGACGAAGACACUGGAAGAUUGGCAUCUCCAACAAAAACAUCAACAAUGAGAUCAAUGGCAACUGGUUGACCACGUCUAGCAACAGCAUCCAUGAAGCACGCCUCAAGGCGAAGGCCAAGCGGAGGCUGAGAAAAAACUCCUCCAGGGACUCUGGGAGGGGGGACUCUCUCAGCGAUAAUGGGGAUGUGGUUAAGGGGACCUCUGCGGCACCCACCAGCCCCAAGAGCAAGCUGCUGGACAGAAAGUCCCGAUUGGGCAAGGGCAGAGGUCUGCCAAAGAAAGGUGAGAAGACUUGACAUUUUAAUAAAGUAAUAAGUCAGUCCA